CUCUGCCCGCCGUCCCCUGUGAGCCAGUGAAGCUGGACUAAGCACAGAGGAGGAAAAGAGGGGACAAAAUCAUGAAACACGGUUGCUGGUUCGAUAAGAGGAAAACAUUUACAAGGCACCUGAGAUGCUGAGAAACCUGCACGCCAGAAAGUUCAUGCGAAUGGACACACCCAUCAGUAAGGACCCUCCAUACUGUUCUCCAAUGUGGCUGCACCAGCUUACACUCCCACCAGCAGAGCGGGAGGGCGCCCUUCUCCCCACACGCUCUCCAGCACGUGUUAUCUGUAGGCUUCCCGAUGGCGUCAACCUCACAGGCGUGAGGUGGUGGUUCAGUGUUGAUUUGCUUUUCCCUGGUGGUCAGUGAUG